rnacentral:rRNA from 1 species
AGCGAACGCUGGCGGCAGGCCUAACACAUGCAAGUCGAGCGGCCGUAGCAAUACGGCAGCGGCAGACGGGAGAGUAACACGUGGGAACGUACCCUUUGGUUCGGAACAACCCAGGGAAACUUGGGCUAAUACCGGAUAAGUCCGUAAGGAGAAAGAUUUAUCGCCAAAGGAUCGGCCCGCGUCUGAUUAGCUAGUUGGUGAGGUAAUGGCUCACCAAGGCGACGAUCAGUAGCUGGUCUGAGAGGAUGAUCAGCCUCACUGGGACUGAGACACGGCCCAGACUCCUACGGGAGGCAGCAGUGGGGAAUAUUGGACAAUGGGCGCAAGCCUGAUCCAGCCAUGCCGCGUGGAUGAUGAAGGCCCUAGGGUUGUAAAGUCCUUUCGGCGGGGAAGAUAAUGACGGUACCCGCAGAAGAAGCCCCGGCUAACUUCGUGCCAGCAGCCGCCGUAA